UACGUAGGGGGCAAGCGUUGUCCGGAUUUAUUGGGCGUAAAGGGCGCGUAGGCGGUUUGACGAGUCAGGUGUGAAAUUCCCGGGCUUAACCUGGGGGCUGCACUUGAUACUGUCAGGCUUGAAUUCGGGAGAGGAUAGCGGAAUUCCCAGUGUAGAGGUGAAAUUCGUAGAUAUUGGGAAGAACACCGGUGGCGAAGGCGGCUAUCUGGACCGACAUUGACGCUGAGGCGCGAAAGCGUGGGGAGCAAACAGG
rnacentral:rRNA from 1 species